GGGUUGUGAGGUUAAGCGACUAAGCGUACACGGUGGAUGCCCUGGCAGUCAGAGGCGAUGAAGGACGUGCUAAUCUGCGAUAAGCGCCGGUAAGGUGAUAUGAACCGUUAUAACCGGCGAUUUCCGAAUGGGGAAACCCAGUGUGACUCGUCACACUAUCAUUAACUGAAUCCAUAGGUUAAUGAGGCGAACCGGGGGAACUGAAACAUCUAAGUACCCCGAGGAAAAGAAAUCAACCGAGAUUCCCCCAGUAGCGGCGAGCGAACGGGGAGGAGCCCAGAGCCUGAAUCAGCAUGUGUGUUAGUGGAAGCGUCUGGAAAGGCGCGCGAUACAGGGUGACAGCCCCGUACACAAAAGCGCACAUGCUGUGAGCUCGAUGAGU
rnacentral:rRNA from 1 species